UACAGAGGGUGCGAGCGUUAAUCGGAAUUAUUGGGCGUAAAGCGCACGUAGGCGGCUUAGCAAGUCGAAUGUGAAAUCCCUCGGCUCAACCAAGGAAGUGCAUCCGAAACUGCUGAGCUUGAGUACUUAAGAGGAUCGCGGAAUUCCCGGUGUAGAGGCGAAAUUCGUAGAUAUCGGGAGGAACACCAGUGGCGAAGGCGGCGAUCUGGGAAGAUACUGACGCUGAGGUGCGAAAGCGUGGGGAGCAAACAGG
rnacentral:rRNA from 1 species